CUCUUUCAUCUCUCCAAAUAAACUCUCUGUUCUGUAAUUUUCUUUCUCUCCAAAGAAACUUUGUUUCCAUCUCACUCAUCAAAUUCAUUGAUUUUGCAAGCUAGCACACUGGUUUUUCAUGCUAGAACGUGCAACAGAAUCACAUUUCCUCUCUUCAGCUCCCAUCUAUGCAACUCGCCGAUCGUUGAGUUUAAGUUCAAGAACGCUCUUGUUUUAGUGACGACAAGGUCUGAGGUUUGGUUCCUUCUGUAUUAAGCCGGUUAGAUCGUCUUUCUUUGGCUGGGAACAAUCUCUCUGGUACGAUUUGGUUCAAGCUGUCUCGUUUUGGAGAAGAUGAUUUUGUCGCAAAUAACAGUCUCGCGAUUAUAUUGCGGAGGAUGUUGGGUUUUGAUGGUGGUUAUGAUUAAAGUGCUUGUGGUGGAAGAAGCUGUUAGAUGUUAUUCUUGCUGGAUAGACAUUUACAUUAUUGUCGAGACAAUACAAACUUUAACCAGAUAUUAUUUUACGUAGAUGUUAAAGACAGUUGAAAGAACCUAUACAUAGACGGAAAUCAUUUUAUUUA